UACGGGGGGGGCAAGCGUUGUUCGGAAUUACUGGGCGUAAAGGGCUCGUAGGUGGCCAACUAAGUCAGACGUGAAAUCCCUCGGCUUAACCGGGGAACUGCGUCUGAUACUGGAUGGCUUGAGUUUGGGAGAGGGAUGCGGAAUUCCAGGUGUAGCGGUGAAAUGCGUAGAUAUCUGGAGGAAUACCGAUGGCGAAGGCAGGUCUCUGGGCUGACACUGACGCUCAUGCACGAAAGCGUGGGGAGCAAACAGG
rnacentral:rRNA from 1 species